rnacentral:rRNA from 1 species
UACGGGAGGCAGCAGUGGGGAAUAUUGCACAAUGGGCGCAAGCCUGAUGCAGCCAUGCCGCGUGUAUGAAGAAGGCCUUCGGGUUGUAAAGUACUUUCAGUCGUGAGGAAGGUGUUAAGGUUAAUAACCUUAGCAAUUGACGUUAGCGACAGAAGAAGCACCGGCUAACUCCGUGCCAGCAGCCGCGGUAAUACGGAGGGUGCGAGCGUUAAUCGGAAUUACUGGGCGUAAGGGCACGCAGGCGGUUAAUUAAGUUGGAUGUGAAAUCCCCGGGCUUAACCUGGGAAUGGCAUUCAAGACUGGUUAGCUAGAGUCUUGUAGAGGGGGUAGAAUUCCAUGUGUAGCGGUGAAAUGCGUAGAGAUGUGGAGGAAUACCGGUGGCGAAGGCGGCCCCUGGACAAAGACUGACGCUCAUGUGCGAAAGCGUGGGGAGCAAACAGGAUUAGAUACC